rnacentral:rRNA from 1 species
UACGUAGGGAGCGAGCGUUGUCCGGAUUCAUUGGGCGUAAAGAGCUCGUAGGCGGCUUGGUAAGUCGGAUGUGAAACCUCCAGGCUCAACCUGGAGUCGCCAUCCGAUACUGCCAUGGCUAGAGUCCGGCAGGGGAGAACGGAAUUCCCGGUGUAGCGGUGAAAUGCGCAGAUAUCGGGAGGAACACCGGUGGCGAAGGCGGUUCUCUGGGCCUGUACUGACGCUGAGGAGCGAAAGCGUGGGGAGCGAACAGG